rnacentral:lncRNA from 1 species
UGUGCUUUCAAAAUGGUGCAUCUCUGUCUCUAGAUGGCUCAAGGUUUUGAAAUGCCUCCCCAUCCUCAUGAUUAAUGCUAUGCAUACAGCACAACAGCAGAGUGGAGAAUUGCAGCCGGUGCCAGUUCACCUACAGGCAUUUAUCUUUCUGUUCCCCCUGGUGCCCGCACGGAGCCUGAGGAAAGCCUGCUGCUACAGAGAGGCGCCACAAAGACUAGAAGCACUGUUUCUGACUCAGGACUCUUGAGCAAAAUGGGCUCCCCUGUGGUUUUCCAACCUUUAUUCUACUUCUGUGAGAUGGCCCGCCCAGCUGCAUCUCCUCCUCUCAAAAUGUGGGGCAUGCACACGACCUGGUAUCGAAGAUCAGACAGGUUGGAUAAAUAAAACGAAUUUUGUAUGUGUC